rnacentral:lncRNA from 1 species
GUGCAUAGCGCGGAUCCGUAUCUAGUAGGUCUUUAAAAGACGGGUUAAUCUCUGAACGACAUUGGCUGCGAUUGAAUACCUUGUUUGCAAACGCGCAAUUAAAAAAUUGUGUUUGGCGUUUUAUCUUAUUCUUCAUUUCCUCAACGCCCGAGCUCUGCUACCGUCCCAUCGUCGUCUCCUCUCUCCACCAGAAUCGUCUCCUGUAUCGGUGCUCCCGCAUUCUUUUGUCGUCGUCGAUCUGAUGUAAUUUCCUCUCCGUUUCAGGUUUCCAAAAUCAACAUCAAAAUGCGACGAAGUUGGCCGAUUGCAUCAGUUCGAGUGGACCAUCACUUCUCAAAGUGUUCUAUUGUUGCUCACGGGUCGAGGAUCUAGUCAAGAGCACUGAAUCGAGCAGAACAGUUCGUGUCCAUUGGUUGAUUGCAGCUCUUGGCUGGUCAUGGCCGCUUUUCACCAAUUUGUGCUUUUGAUCCCUAACAUUUUUUCAGUCUUCGAGUUUGGCCCAAACCCAUUUGGUGCAUAAUUUUCCUUGAUUUUGUUCCAAAACUCUUGAUUGUGCAUUUCGGCCCAUGUGUAUGCAAAAUGUGCAUAUGCAACUCCUAGUGACGCCUAAAUGCAACUCCCCUAAGAACUAAAACGACAUAAAUUAAUAGCAAAAACCUAUAACAACAAUAUUAUAUAUUA